UGGGGAAUUUUGGACAAUGGGCGAAAGCCUGAUCCAGCAAUGCCGCGUGUGUGAAGAAGGCCUUCGGGUUGUAAAGCACUUUUGUCCGGAAAGAAAUCCUUGGCUCUAAUACAGUCGGGGGAUGACGGUACCGGAAGAAUAAGCACCGGCUAACUACGUGCCAGCAGCCGCGGUAAUACGUAGGGUGCAAGCGUUAAUCGGAAUUACUGGGGCGUAAAGCGUGCGCAGGCGGUUUGCUAAGACCGAUGUGAAAUCCCCGGGCUCAACCUGGGAACUGCAUUGGUGACUGGCAGGCUAGAGUAUGGCAGAGGGGGGUAGAAUUCCACGUGUAGCAGUGAAAUGCGUAGAGAUGUGGAGGAAUACCGAUGGCGAAGGCAGCCCCCUGGGCCAAAUACUGACGCUCAUGCACGAAAGCGUGGGGAGCAAACAGGAUUAGAUACCCUGGUAGUCCACGCCCUAAACGAUGUCAACUAGUUGUGGGGAUUCAUUUCCUUAGUAACGUAGCUAACGCGUGAAGUUGACCGCCUGGGGAGUACGGUCGCAAGAUU
rnacentral:rRNA from 1 species